rnacentral:tRNA from 1 species
GCCUGCAUGGCUCAGUGGUUGAGCAUCUGCCUUUGGCUCAGGUUGUGAUCCUGGGGUCCUGGGAUCAAAUCCCAUAGUGGGCU